rnacentral:rRNA from 1 species
GUGAGGAAUUUUUCGCAAUGGGCGAAAGCCUGACGGAGCAAUGCCGCGUGAAGGAUGAAGGCCUAUGGGUUGUAAACUUCUUUUCUCAGAAAAGAAUUAUGACGGUAUCUGAGGAAUAAGCAUCGGCUAACUCUGUGCCAGCAGCCGCGGUAAGACAGAGGAUGCAAGCGUUAUCCGGAAUGAUUGGGCGUAAAGCGUCUGUAGGUUGUUUAAAAAGUAUUCUGUCAAAGAUUAGGGCUUAACCCUAGAUAGGCAGAAUAAACUUUUAAGCUAGAGUUUGGUAGAGGCAGAGGGAAUUCCCGGUGGAGCGGUGAAAUGCGUAGAUAUCGGGAGGAACACCAAAGGCGAAGGCACUCUGCUGGGCCAAUACUAACACUGAGAGACGAAAGCGAGGGGAGCAAAUGGGAUUAGAUACCCUAGUAGUCC